CUAGCAUCACCGAAGGUGCGGGGAGGCAUGGGUUUCCGCGAUUUGGAACUCUUUAACCUGGCGCUUCUUGGUAAACAUGGUUGGAGGUUCAUCACCAACCUCGACUCGUUAUGUGCACGAGUCAUGAAGGGACGCUAUUUCCCUGACUGUGAUUUCAUGGAGGCCACCAAGCCGAAAACUUCUUCUGCUAUUUGGCGCGCGGUUACGGCUGGCAGGGAGGCGCUCCGCGAGGGAUUGAUUAAGAGAGUUGGGAAUGGGUCAACUAUAUCCAAUUGGCAUGAUAGGUGGAUUCCGGGCCUCCCAAAUAUGGUUCCUAUGGUAGUUCCGGGUGGUACUACUCUUGCGAUGGUGGAUCAGCUGAUUGACAUGGAAAACUAGACAUGGAGGCGGGAUUUGAUCCGGUCCAUGUUUGCUGCACCUGAUGCCGAUGCCAUUUUAAAUAUCCCAUUGCGAGUGGGCGGUGGUGACGAUUUUCUUGCUUGGGCCCAUGAAUGGAGUGGAAUCUAUUCUGUUAAAUCUGCGUAUCGGUCUCUAGUGACUCGCAAAGAGCGCUUAGCUCAAGAGGAAGGGACGACUACAAACACCUCACAGACCGCAGAAUGGAUGUGGAAGCGACUCUGGAAGCUCAAAGUUUUGCCAAAGGUGCGUGUCUUCUGGUGGCGAGUUAUUCAGAAAAUAUUACCAGACGAAUGUACACUGCGGCAUCGACACAUCAAAGCUAUCAGUAGAUGCAAUGUAUGUCUUGCAAUGUAUGAGGAUCUUAUGCAUGCUCUAGUGCAUUGUUCUCACGCCAAAUUGUUCUGGGAACAAGCGUUUCACUCUUCGAUAUCUGAAGGCCGCGCCUUCACCCAGAUACAUGGUCUCGGGAUAUCAUAUGUGACGAGCAGUUCUCUGAUAAUGAGAGGGCUCAAAUGGUCUCCGUUAUAUGGGCUAUAUGGCACUCUAGAAAUCGAGUCACCCAUGACGAUGAUCAGUUGGAUCCAUUUACGACAGUGCAGCGCAUCAGAGAAGAACUGGUGGUGCUAG
rnacentral:rRNA from 1 species